rnacentral:tRNA from 1 species
AGCUCAGUAGGCUUAAGCGUUUAUAGUACAGGACUCUGCCAGGACUCCAGGGGUCACAGGUUCGAACCCUGCUCCGGGCAA